rnacentral:misc_RNA from 1 species
GCCCUUUCUCUGUUCUUUUUUUGAAGUUCCUUUUAGAGAGAGAAAACAUACACAGAGAAUGCACAAACACUGAAACUUUUCACUACUAAAAUUUGCCUCUCUCUUUCUGCUACUCUCUUCUACAGUUUUUUGAAGGGUUGCUUUUCUGAAGCUAGUUGGGACAACACUCUUAUCAGUGACUAUAAAAGGAAAUUCUGAUUGCACCUCUAAUUUAGUACGACAUCGACUUGGUUCCUAUUACAUGGGAAAUAGUGAGGAUGGGAAAUCCUGUAAGCUUGAGAAGCCAUCCUCGCCUGCAGCGGACCAGAGCAAUCGCCAUGUCUAUCCAGAUUGGGCAGCCAUGCAGGCAUAUUAUGGUCCUCGAGUAGCUGUUCCUGCAUAUUUCAAUUCAGCAGUUGCACCUGGUCAUACCCCUCACCCUUAUAUGUGGGGGCCACAGCCUAUGGUACCACCUUAUGGUACCCCUUAUGCAGCAAUAUAUGCUCAUGGUGGGGUUUAUGCACAUCCUGGAGUUCCAAUUGGAUCUCAUCCUCCAGGUCAUGUGAUGGCGACAUCUCCUGUUGUCAGCCAAGCCAUGGAUGGUGCUUCUUUGAGUUUAGAUGCGUCUGCGAAGUCCUCGGGAAAUUCUGAUAGAGGAUUGAUGUCUAAACUGAAGGAAUUUGAGGGGCUGGCAAUGUCACUUGGAAAUGGCAGCACUGACAAUGUUGAGGGUGGAACAGACAAUGGACAUUCUCAAAGUGGGGAAACUGAAGGUUCAACUGAUGGAAGUGACACAAACGGAGCUGGGGUCAGUGAGAGAACUAAGAAAAGGAGCUGUGAGACAACUCCUGAUAACUCUGGUGAUGAUAAGAGCCACUCACAAAGAUUUCAACCUACUGGGGAAGUAAAUGAUGAUGCUGAGAAGGCAAUCGUUGUUGCAGCGAAAAUGACGGGAACAGUACUUUCUCCUUGCAUGACAACUUUGGAAAUGAGAAAUCCUGCUAGUGCACAUAUGAAAUCUAGCCCAACUAAUGGUGGUUCACCACUCAGCCCUGCACUGCCUAAUGAAACCUGGUUACAGAAUGAGCGUGAGCUGAAGCGGGAGAAAAGGAAACAGUCUAAUCGGGAAUCUGCAAGGCGAUCAAGAUUGAGAAAACAGGCUGAAGCUGAAGAAUUGGCAAUACGAGUUCAGGCUUUAACAGGAGAGAACUUGACACUCAGAUCCGAGAUUAACAAAUUAAUGGAGAACUCGGAGAAACUGAAGCUAGACAAUGCCACUUUAAUGGAGAGACUGAAAAAUGAACAGCUUGGACAGACAGAAGAAGUAAGUUUAGGUAAGAUUGAUGAUAAGAGACUGCAACCUGUAGGCACAGUAAACCUGCUAGCACGAGUGAACAACUCAGGUUCCUCGGAUACAACGAACGAGGAUGGUGAAGUUUAUGAGAACAACAGCUCUGGAGCAAAGCUUCAUCAACUACUUGAUACCAGCCCCAGAACUGAUGCAGUAGCAGCUGGGUGAUCCCCUAAAUUUAAUUUGAGAUGUUAAAACUUAGUCUGAUUGUGUAAUUUUGGCGUAAUUUUAAGUCCAAAAUUGCUACUAACUACGGGAGAGGAACAGGUGAAUAGGAUUACGAGAUUUCUAAUUUUACCUACCUAAUUGUAGUUUACAGGUCAGUAGAACCGAUGUGUGCUCUUUUUUCUGUUUUGCAUUUCUGAGUUGAAUGAAUGUGGCUAUAAUAGCGUAUGUAAAGUUUAAUGUUCGACAUACUAAAGACUUGAUUUGAGGAAAUACUAUAGAACCGAAAUGUUUUCGGUUUGGACGAUGAAAGUGAACUUCAUAU